rnacentral:rRNA from 1 species
CUGCUCACUGAUUAUUAAAGAGCUGCAAUAUUCUUAAUUGUGCUAAGGUAGCAAAAUAAUUUGUUUAUUAAUUGUAAACUGGAAUGAAAGAUUUAACAUAUUUAUAUCUUUUUUAAUAUUAUAUAUAAAAUUUAUUUUUAAAGUGCAAAAACUUUAAUGAUUUUAAUAGAGGAUAAGACCCUAAGAAUUUAUUUUAUUUUUUUUUUUAAAAUUUUGUAUUUUAAAAUUAGUUGGGGUGACUAUUAGAUUUUUAAAUUCUAAUUUUUUGUAUACUGCAUCAGUUUAAUUGAAUAUUAUUAUUUAAAAGUUUAAUUACCUUAGGGAUAACAGCGUUAUACUCAUUUAUAGUUCUUAUAGGAAUGUGUGUUUGCGACCUCGAUGUUGGAUUAAGUUUAAUUUUGGAGUAUAAACUAAUAAUACGAGUCUGUUCG